GGAGGAGGAGGAGGAGCAGCAGCAGCAGCAGCGCAUCAAUAAAAGGAUGGUGGCAGAGCUGGAGCCCUUUCCAAAUGACUUUUGGCGAUACACACCGGACCGGCUGGCAGCUAAUCACAAUCACACCUACAGUUGCUAGGAAACACCGGAACUGGCGGCGGCGCUCGGCUUCCCUGAGCCACGGCGAACGAGGACGCGGGUGAGGCGACGAGGUCGGGAGGUUCGGAGCUGACAGUCAACGUUGAAAUGAACCGACUUCCAGCGGUUAUCACAACACACCCCUGUUCAAAGGCCGAGCUUGUGUGAUUAAAGAAAAUGAAAGCAGGUACAGUAUAUCAUAUAUCUUUAUUGUGACAUUUAGGGCUGUCUAAGAGCUUUUUGUCAUCUAGGAGUCACUUUUACGUUUUAUCACUGUUUCACACGACAAUUGUGUGUUUCUGUACUUUGUGCAUGGACUUGAAAUGUCAUCCAACUGUCGAAUGAUCCUUCUCUCACCUGAUACCUCAGCUCCAAACUCAUUGACACUCACUUUAAUGCCGGCUAAAAGUGGACACAUCAGCUGUGGGAAUCAGUCGGGCAUUGGCGUUCAACAGCUGCCCAUGCCCAUCAUGGAUGCCGGCCAUGUGUGUCGGUAUGGGCAGCAAGUGCUGCCCCAUGGAGCUCGGGAGCCAUUUGAAGAGCUGCUCAAGCUGAUUUUAAAUGUCACUCGUGUGAAUAUUACCUUUCCUUUUAGCUUGAGAUGAAAAAAGUUGGAAUGUCUCACCAACAGACGGCAGCCUCUCUGAGGGAGGGAAGGUGAUAUUGUCAUGGCAAAAAGGUGGCAGACACUUGCGUUGUGUUUACAGCGCUAAAAGGUGAAGAGGAUCAAGCCAAAUUUCACCAUCAUGGAAUUGUAAUGUGACAAGGAAUGGUAGUGAUAUUCUAAUAUCUAUCUUGCGACAUUGGCCCAUGACAAAAAUUAAAUUUUGUCUAGAAAAUAAAACAUACCGGUUAGGAGGAGGCUUCUACCGAGAGAGCAGAUUUAUAUAUGACUGGAGUGUGAAGAGGACCCUCGCAGCUGAAGCUAGAGGUCAGCCAUCUUCCGUUGCCCACCAGUAUUCACAACCUUUAUAUUUCACUGACACUUUUCAAUGAAUGUUUUAUGCUAGAAGGAAUUGGAGUCUCUCAAAAAACAAACUUGACUGUUUGCAUCGACUAUCGAGAGUAGAUUACCUCAGUACUGGGAAUUGUGAAUUAAGACAAUAAA